rnacentral:rRNA from 1 species
UACGAAGGGGGGCUAGCGUUGCUCGGAAUCACUGGGCGUAAAGCGCACGUAGGCGGCUUUCUAAGUCAGGGGGUGAAAUCCCGGAGCUCAACUCCGGAACUGCCUUUGAUACUGGAAAGCUUGAGUUCGGGAGAGGUGAGUGGAACUGCGAGUGUAGAGGUGAAAUUCGUAGAUAUUCGCAAGAACACCAGUGGCGAAGGCGGCUCACUGGCCCGAUACUGACGCUGAGGUGCGAAAAGCGUGGGGAGCAAACAGGGAUUAGAAACCCCCAG